ACGUGAGCAAUCUGCCCCUGACUCUGGGAUAAGCGCUGGAAACGGCGUCUAAUACUGGAUACGAGCUGCAGCCGCAUGGCUAGCAGUUGGAAAGAUUUUUCGGUCAGGGAUGAGCUCGCGGCCUAUCAGCUUGUUGGUGAGGUAAUGGCUCACCAAGGCGUCGACGGGUAGCCGGCCUGAGAGGGUGACCGGCCACACUGGGACUGAGACACGGCCCAGACUCCUACGGGAGGCAGCAGUGGGGAAUAUUGCACAAUGGGCGCAAGCCUGAUGCAGCAACGCCGCGUGAGGGACGACGGC
rnacentral:rRNA from 1 species